AGUGUCGUGGCAGGCAGUAGUGGUCAGAGUGCUGCUGCUGCUGCUAGUGAGUGAUUUCAGCUCUUUUGUGAAAUCAGCUCUUUGGGGCGAUGCAGAAGGGAAGAGACAAAGCCUUCAUGUGGAGUUCUGCAGGAGGCUUUAUUCAGCUUCCUCUUCAGAGAGGACUAUGGACGAAAAAACAGAAGGAGCAGGGGUUUAUAUAGAAAGACAGGGGCAGGGCAAGACAUCAGGACCAAUCAUCUGAGGGCUCAGGGGUGGAGCAAGGGUGAAGGGCCAAUAGGAUACAAAUAAUCUACAUAUAAACAGCAAAGCAUGUUGGGGUAACACUUUUGCUCUCUGUUGCUACAAAGGCUGUCAGUAAGAGUUUCUCCCUCUAGGGGAUUGCAGCAGCUUUGAGGCUGAGGGCUGCUCUCUCUUCAGGGAACUGUGGUUAAGUUAUUACUUGGCUUACCAGCCUCCACAGGAGGAGUGCAACUUCCUGAAAUUCCAGGUUGUGUCGAGUAUGAUACUUCAGAUUUUCAGCAGAUUCAUCAUGUCAGAAAAGAGACCUGCCCCAUGUCAAAGAUGAUUUCGGAGAUCAAGACUUCACUUCCAAUGGGUCAGCUCUGCCAUGGAAAUAGAGCAACUAGCCAUCAGCGCCUAUGCUCUUGCUGCUGCAGACAUGGAAAACACCAACUAGAUCAUCCGUAUCUCCUCCAGCACUGGAAGUAGCAGGGAAGUGUCUGCAGUAGGAUAUUUGCUUGCUGGAAUAAGUGGAAACAAACAAGGAUUCUGCAACGAGCAAACCAACAAGCACACAAACCCAGAGUUGAGGGCAGUGUUCCCUCUGCAAACCGAAGCUGGUAGUUCUUUACAACUCUGACAUGGAAAAAGAGCAAAUAGCCAUCAACACCUUUGCUCUUGCUGCUGCAGAUAUGGAAAACACAAACUAUAACAUCAGAAUCUCAUCCAGUAUUGGAAUUAGCAGGAAAGUUGCUGCACUAACUAACUAAUGUUUGCUUGCCGGAACAGGUUGAAACUAAUAAGACUUGUGCACCUGUAAUAGUUUUCACUUUGAAACUGGGUGGAAACACCAAUUAAUGUAGUGGUUUCACAUUCACUAAAUUCUGGUCUUAGUACUCACUUUUUUUCUGUGGGAGAGAGACUAGGAGAAAAACAAAGCAGGCUUAACUUUAAAGAUGAACAAAUAGUUUUAUUGACACACACUAAAAGAAUGGAAAAAGAAAGUUGGGAAGAAACUAAAACAGAAUGAAACUUUAAAAACACUCUUCCCUCCCCUUAUAAAUUGUUUACUUUCCUACAAAACAACAUAAAGAGACAAAACUUGUAAUUUU